UUGCUAUGAUGUUUACUUAGGACACCUUUGAAAAGAAUGAAACUGUUUAUAAAUUGACUGAGCAAC